rnacentral:rRNA from 1 species
CCUACGGGAGGCAGCAGUAGGGAAUUUUCGUCAAUGGGCGCAAGCCUGAACGAGCGAUGCCGCGUGAGUGAAGAAGGCCUUCGGGUCGUAAAGCUCUGUUGCGGGGGAAAAAAGGCAGCAUCAGGAAAUGGGUGCUGACUGAUUGUGCACCUCCAGAAAGUCACGGCUAACUACGUGCCAGCAGCCGCGGUAAUACGUAGGUGGCGUGAGGUAUUCGGAAUGAUUGGGCGUAAAGGGUGCGCAGGCGGUCGUGCAAGUCUGGAGUGAAACGCAUGGGCUCAACUCAUGAAUGGCUUUGGAAACUGGAGGACUGGAGAGCAGGAGAGGGAGGUGGAACUCCAGGUGUAGCGGUGAAAUGCGUAGAUAUAUGGAAGAACACCGGUGGCGAAGGCGGCCGCCUGGCCUGUUGCUGACGCUGAGGCACGAAAGCGUGGGGAGCAAAUAGGAUUAGAUACCCUAGUAGUC